rnacentral:misc_RNA from 1 species
GAGAAAAACAACAGAACUCCUGAAUUUUAAAAGGAUGAUAUAACUAUUUAAAAAAAAAAACAAAAUGCAAUCAUAAGCUCUCUCAUAAUCAUCCACCACUUUAGAUAACUUUGCCCAACUUGAAACUCCUCCUAAUAGCUCAUGUGUAUUGGAAGUGCUUUUCUCUGGUACAAAUAAAUGUGGAAAAUAUAUUUGAAAAUGAUUUCACUACAUUGAUUAAUUGAAACCACAAUAGGAGCUUAUUUUCUUCCAAGGAAAGUCUAAAUACACGCGGAUAAUUACUAAAGAAAUAAAUGAUAAAUUAGAUGGUUAUAUAAU